AUUGAACGCUGGCGGCAGGCCUAACACAUGCAAGUCGGACGAGCGGCGGACGGGUGAGUAAUGUCUGGGGAUCUGCCUGAUGGCGGGGGAUAACUACUGGAAACGGUAGCUAAUACCGCAUACCAUCAGAUGUGCCCAUAUGGGAUUAGCUAGUAGGUGAGGUAACGGCUCACCUAGGCGACGAUCCCUAGCUGGUCUGAGAGGAUGAUCAGCCACACUGGAACUGAGACACGGCCCAGACUCCUACGGGAGGCAGCAGUGGGGAAUAUUGCACAAUGGGCGCAAGCCUGAUGCAGCCAUGCCGCGUGUAUGAAGAAGGCCUUCGGGUUGUAAAGUACUUUCAGUGGGGAGGCGUUACCGACAGAAGAAGCACCGGCUAACUCCGUGCCAGCCGCCGCGGUAAUAC
rnacentral:rRNA from 1 species